CCGAUAACUCCGGGAUAGCCUUUCGAAAGAAAGAUUAAUACCGGAUGGCAUACGAAUAUCGCAUGAUAUUUUUAUUAAAGAAUUUCGGUUAUCGAUGGGGAUGCGUUCCAUUAGUUUGUUGGCGGGGUAACGGCCCACCAAGACUACGAUGGAUAGGGGUUCUGAGAGGAAGGUCCCCCACAUUGGAACUGAGACACGGUCCAAACUCCUACGGGAGGCAGCAGUGAGGAAUAUUGGUCAAUGGGCGAGAGCCUGAACCAGCCAAGUAGCGUGAAGGAUGAAGGCUCUAUGGGUCGUAAACUUCUUUUAUAUGGGAAUAAAGUUUUCCACGUGUGGAAUUUUGUAUGUACCAUAUGAAUAAGGAUCGGCUAACUCCGUGCCAGCAGCCGCGGUAAUACGGAGGAUCCGAGCGUUAUCCGGAUUUAUUGGGUUUAAAGGGAGCGUAGGUGGAUUGUUAAGUCAGUUGUGAAAGUUUGCGGCUCAACCGUAAAAUUGCAGUUGAAACUGGCAGUCUUGAGUACAGUAGAGGUGGGCGGAAUUCGUGGUGUAGCGGUGAAAUGCUUAGAUAUCACGAAGAACUCCGAUUGCG
rnacentral:rRNA from 1 species